UUAAACACAGGUUCCUGUAUGAUUACCAAAGUUAAGCAACAUUGAGCAUGGUCAGUACCUAGAUGGGUGACCAUUUGGGAAAACCAAGAGCUGUAAG